CACGUACACAACCUUCUCGAAGCGGGAAUAGCCCAGAGAAAUUUGGAUUAAUACCCAUAAUAUAUUUGAUAAGGCAUCUUAUUAAUAUUAAAGCUUCGGCACUUGAUGAUGGGUGUGCGGCUGAUUAGAUAGUUGGCGGGUAACGGCCCACCAAGUCUACGAUCAGUAGCUGAUGUGAGAGCAUGAUCAGCCACACGGGCACUGAGACACGGCCCGACUCCUACGGGAGCAGCAGUAAGGAUAUUGGACAAUGGACGAAAGUCUGAUCCAGCCAUGCCGCGUGAGGGAUUAAGGUCCUCUGGAUUGUAAACUUCUUUUAUAUGGGACGAAAAAAGGGCAUUCUUGUUCACUUGACGGUACCAUAUGAAUAAGCACCGGCUAACUCCGUG
rnacentral:rRNA from 1 species